CCCUUAGAUGUUCUGAGCCGCACGCGCGCUACACUGAUGCAUUCAACGAGCCUAUCCCUGACCGACAGGUCCGGGUAAUCUUUGAAUCUGCAUCGUGACGGGGAUAGAUUAUUGCAAUUAUUAAUCUUCAACGAGGAAUGCCUAGUAGGCGCAAGUCAUCAGCUUGCGUCGAUUACGUCCCUGCCCUUUGUACACACCGCCCGUCGCUCCUACCGAUUGGGUGUGCUGGUGAAAUGUUCGGAUCGGCCGUUUGUCGCGGUUUCCGCGUCAUGUGGCUGAGAAGUUCAUUAAACCCUCCCACCUAGAGGAAGGAGAAGUCGUAACA
rnacentral:rRNA from 1 species